CCCCGAGGGAGCGGGGCGGGGGCUAUAAAGUCGCCGCGUUCGGGGCUGGAAUGUUGAGUAUCGCGCUGCGGCCCCGCUGGACACGCCGCGUUCGGGGCGCGCUGCCGGGGGGACCCCGCGUCUGGCCGGCGGUGUUUGCACUCUAGCCCAGAGGGGAGCAGGAGAAAGGCAUUGCUGUGGUCCUGGGACAAGAUCCCUGAUCAAACUUGCUGAUUGAGCAGACUGGUGGCAUUCCGGGGACUGGGAGCAGAGUCCUGCCCUCCCCCAAGGACCGCGCCGGCUCUGCGGCCCAGACAUGCAGUGGGUGGUGAAGCUCUACGUGCUGGGUGCGUUGCUGUCCCUGCUGUCGGUUCUCUUUGGAUUGAUGGACUCCCUGGGCAGCCUGCUGACCCCUCGGGGCCUGGAGCAGUGCCUCUCCGGCCCAUGGACAGAACCGGAGGGCGGCCUUGCCGAGGGCCAGCUGAAGAUCCUCCAAGGGCAGGCGAAGCGAAGGACUAACAAAGCCUUUGGGUCGUACCUCUGAGCUCUGGGGGGGACGGACUGCUCCCUGACGGCCCACCGUGGUGCUUGGACUCUGGCUUUGGCUCCUGGGGGCUGUGGUGCUGGUGUCUUCCUUCCUCUGAGAUGAAAGGCGGCAAGUUCUCACGGGCCGGCGGCUACUGUUGCCUCCGAGCUUCUGGCCUGGGGGUGGCUACUUGGCUAACGUUCCUGCUAAAGUGACGCAGAUGGCAGGGCCACGGUGUAGGGUUACCAUAUUCAAACUCUUAAAAAAGAGGACACUCCAUGGGGGCCCUCGCCCGCCCCGGUCCUACCCCAACUCUGCCCUGUCCCCGGCUCCACCCCUUCCCCACCCACAUUCCAACCCCUUCCCCAAAGUCCCUGCCCCAACUCUGCCCUCUCCUCUGAGCACCCUGCAUCCCCCUCCUCCCUCCCGCUUUGAUC